UACGAAGGGGGCUAGCGUUGCUCGGAAUGACUGGGCGUAAAGGGCGCGUAGGCGGACGGCUUUGUCGGGCGUGAAAUUCCAGGGCUUAACCUUGGGGCUGCGUUCGAGACGGGUUGUCUAGAGUUUGGAAGAGGGUCGUGGAAUUCCCAGUGUAGAGGUGAAAUUCGUAGAUAUUGGGAAGAACACCGGUGGCGAAGGCGGCGCGCUGGACCUCUUCUGACGCUGACGGCGCGAAAGCCAGGGGAGCAAACGGG
rnacentral:rRNA from 1 species